rnacentral:rRNA from 1 species
UACGUAUGGAGCAAGCGUUAUCCGGAUUUACUGGGUGUAAAGGGAGCGCAGGCGGUCUGGCAAGUCUGAUGUGAAAGGCCGGGGCUCAACCCCGGGACUGCAUUGGAAACUGUCAGACUGGAGUGUCGGAGAGGUAAGCGGAAUUCCUAGUGUAGCGGUGAAAUGCGUAGAUAUUAGGAGGAACACCAGUGGCGAAAGCGGCUCUCUGGUCUGUAACUGACGCUGAGGUUCGAAAGCGUGGGUAGCAAACAGG